AGUGAACGCUGGCGGUAGGCCUAACACAUGCAAGUCGAACGGCAGCACAGUAAGCGCUUGCUCCUACGGGUGGCGAGUGGCGGACGGGUGAGGAAUACAUCGGAAUCUACUUUUUCGUGGGGGAUAACGUAGGGAAACAUCCGCUACUACCGCAUAUGUCCUACGGGUGAAAGCAGGGGAUCUUCGCACCUUGCGUGAUUGAAUGAGCUGAUGCCGGAUUAGCUAGUUGGCGGGGUAAAGGCUCACCAAGGCAACGUGCCGAAGCUGGUCUGAGAGGAGGAUCAGCCACACUGGAACUGAGACACGUUCCAGACUCUUACGGAAGGCAGCAGAGGGAAUUAUUGGACAAGGGGCGCAAGCCGGAUCCGGCCAGACCGGUUAGUUAAGGAAGUCCUUCGAGUGGUAAAGCCCUUUUGUUGGGAAAGAAAAGCAGCAGAUUAAUACCCCGCUGUUCUGACGUUACCCAAAGAAUAGGCACCGGCAAACUCCUU
rnacentral:rRNA from 1 species